UACGGAGGGGGCUAGCGUUGUUCGGAAUUACUGGGCGUAAAGCGCGCGUAGGCGGGCUGUUAAGUCGGGGGUGAAAUCCCGGGGCUCAACCCCGGAACUGCCUUCGAUACUGGCAGCCUAGAGGACGGAAGAGGUCAGUGGAAUGGCGAGUGUAGAGGUGAAAUUCGUAGAUAUUCGCCGGCACACCAGUGGCGAAGGCGACUGACUGGUCCGUUUCUGACGCUGAGGUGCGAAAGCGUGGGGAGCAAACAGG
rnacentral:rRNA from 1 species